rnacentral:rRNA from 1 species
UGGGCCUGCGUCUGAUUAGUUAGUUGGUAGGGUAACGGCCUACCAAGGCGACGAUCAGUAGCCGACCUGAGAGGGUGAUCGGCCACAUUGGAACUGAGACACGGUCCAAACUCCUACGGGAGGCAGCAGUGGAGAAUCUUGCACAAUGGGGGAAACCCUGAUGCAGCAACGCCGCGUGAAGGAAGAAGGCCCUUGGGUCGUAAACUUCUGUUCUAAGGGAAGAUAAUGACGGUACCUUAGGAGCAAGUCCCGGCUAACUACGUGCCAGCAGCCGCGGU